rnacentral:rRNA from 1 species
AGGACGAACGCUGGCGGCGUGCUUAACACAUGCAAGUCGAACGGUGAAGCCCUUCGGGGUGGAUCAGUGGCGAACGGGUGAGUAACACGUGGGCAAUCUGCCCUGCAUUCUGGGACAAGCCUUGGAAACGAGGUCUAAUACCGGAUACGACGCAUCCCCGCAUGGGGUGUGCGUGGAAAGCUCCGGCGAUGCAGGAUGAGCCCGCGGCCUAUCAGCUUGUUGGUGGGGUAAUGGCCUACCAAGGCGACGACGGGUAGCCGGCCUGAGAGGGCGACCGGCCACACUGGGACUGAGACACGGCCCAGACUCCUACGGGAGGCAGCAGUGGGGAAUAUUGCACAAUGGGCGAAAGCCUGAUGCAGCGACGCCGCGUGAGGGAUGACGGCCUUCGGGUUGUAACCUCUUCAGCAGGGAAGAAGCGCGAAGUGACGGUACCGUGCAGAAGAAGACGACCGGACUAACUACGUGCCAGCAGCCGCGGU